CCACGCACAGGGCAAACCAUCUGAAAGGGUGGGACGCAAAGCCUCCGGCCUAAACCAGAACCUGGUAGGUAGCGGGGUUGCCGAU
rnacentral:ncRNA from 1 species